rnacentral:rRNA from 1 species
CAAUACCGAAGAAAGUUCAGUGGCGAACGGGUGCGUAACACGUGGGCAAUCUGCCUUAAAGUGNUUNACCCCUCGGCGAAAGCCGGAUUAAUACCGCAUGUGAUUAGGGGAGACAUCUCUCCGAAAUCAAAGGUGGCGAAAGCUACCGCUUUUUGAGGGGCCCGCGGCCUAUCAGCUAGUUGGUGAGGUAACGGCUCACCAAGGCGAUGACGGGUAGCUGGUCUGAGAGGACGACCAGUCACACUGGGACUGAGACACGGCCCAAGACACCUACGGGUGGCAGCAGUCGAGAAUUUUUCUCAAUGGGGGAAACCCUGAAGGAGCGACGCCGCGUGGAGGAUGAAGGUCUUCGGGUUGUAAACUCCUGUCAUUUGGGAACAAUGCGUACGUAUUAACUGUACGUGCGUUGAUAGUACCAGAAGAGGAAGAGACGGCUAACUCUGUGCCAGCAGCCGCGGUAAUACAGAGGUCUCAAGCGUUGUUCGGAUUCAUUGGGCGUAAAGGGUGCGUAAGUGG